rnacentral:rRNA from 1 species
UGGCGGCGUGCUUAACACAUGCAAGUCGAACGGUGAAGCCAAGCUUGCUUGGUGGAUCAGUGGCGAACGGGUGAGUAACACGUGAGCAACCUGCCCUGAACUCUGGGAUAAGCGCUGGAAACGGUGUCUAAUACUGGAUAUGAGCUGCGGAGGCAUCUUCGUGGUUGGAAAGAUUUUUCGGUUUGGGAUGGGCUCGCGGCCUAUCAGCUUGUUGGUGAGGUAAUGGCUCACCAAGGCGUCGACGGGUAGCCGGCCUGAGAGGGUGACCGGCCACACUGGGACUGAGACACGGCCCAGACUCCUACGGGAGGCAGCAGUGGGGAAUAUUGCACAAUGGGCGGAAGCCUGAUGCAGCAACGCCGCGUGAGGGAUGACGGCCUUCGGGUUGUAAACCUCUUUUAGCAGGGAAGAAGCGUGAGUGACGGUACCUGCAGAAAAAGCGCCGGCUAACUACGUGCCAGCAGCCGCGGUAAUACGUAGGGCGCAAGCGUUAUCCGGAAUUAUUGGGCGUAAAGAGCUCGUAGGCGGUUUGUCGCGUCUGCUGUGAAAACCCGAGGCUCAACCUCGGGCCUGCAGUGGGUACGGGCAGACUAGAGUGCGGUAGGGGAGAUUGGAAUUCCUGGUGUAGCGGUGGAAUGCGCAGAUAUCAGGAGGAACACCGAUGGCGAAGGCAGAUCUCUGGGCCGUAACUGACGCUGAGGAGCGAAAGGGUGGGGAGCAAACAGGCUUAGAUACCCUGGUAGUCCACCCCGUAAACGUUGGGAACUAGUUGUGGGGUCCAUUCCACGGAUUCCGUGACGCAGCUAACGCAUUAAGUUCCCCGCCUGGGGAGUACGGCCGCAAGGCUAAAACUCAAAGGAAUUGACGGGGACCCGCACAAGCGGCGGAGCAUGCGGAUUAAUUCGAUGCAACGCGAAGAACCUUACCAAGGCUUGACAUACACGAGAACGCUGCAGAAAUGUAGAACUCUUUGGACACUCGUGAACAGGUGGUGCAUGGUUGUCGUCAGCUCGUGUCGUGAGAUGUUGGGUUAAGUCCCGCAACGAGCGCAACCCUCGUUCUAUGUUGCCAGCACGUAAUGGUGGGAACUCAUGGGAUACUGCCGGGGUCAACUCGGAGGAAGGUGGGGAUGACGUCAAAUCAUCAUGCCCCUUAUGUCUUGGGCUUCACGCAUGCUACAAUGGCCGGUACAAAGGGCUGCAAUACCGCGAGGUGGAGCGAAUCCCAAAAAGCCGGUCCCAGUUCGGAUUGAGGUCUGCAACUCGACCUCAUGAAGUCGGAGUCGCUAGUAAUCGCAGAUCAGCAACGCUGCGGUGAAUACGUUCCCGGGUCUUGUACACACCGCCCGUCAAGUCAUGAAAGUCGGUAACACCUGAAGCCGGUGGCCCAACCCUU